AGAGCAUCACUUUUUCUAACUGGUAAAACAGAUUCUUUUUAUGAUUUUUAAGGUAGAAAAACUAGAAACAUUCAUUCUAGGUUCAUUUUUUUUUUUGUAGAAUUUAAAAUUUAAAUACUCAGUGAAUCAGGGCAGAAAAGAAUGAUGAAAUCCUUGACAGUUUUACUAGUGAUCCUGUGGCUUCAGUUAAGCUGGGUUUGGAGCCAACAGAAGGUGGAGCAGAAUUCCGGACCCCUCAAUAUCCCAGAGAGAGUCACUGCCUCUCUCAACUGCACUUACAGUGACCGUGGUUCUCAGUCCUUUUACUGGUACAGGCAAUAUUCUGGGAAAAGCCCUGAGCUGCUGAUGUCUAUAUACUCCAAUGGUGAUGAAGAAGAUGGAAGGUUUACAGCACAGCUCAGUAGAGCCAGCCAGUAUGUUUCCCUGCUCAUCAGAGACUCCCAGCUCAGUGACUCAGCCACCUACCUCUGUGCAGUGAGCACACAGUGCUCCCCAGACACCUGCAGUCUGUACCCAAACCUGCUCGGCCCAGGAAUGCCUGAUAUAGAGCUUAGACUGCAGGGUAGUGAAGUUCUUUUUGUUCUCUAG